UACGAAGGGGGGCUAGCGUUGCUCGGAAUGACUGGGGCGUAAAGGGCGCGUAGGCGGUUUGUACAGUCAGGUGUGAAAUUCCCGGGCUCAACCUGGGGGGCUGCACUUGAUACGUAUGGACUGGGAGUGGGGGAAGAGGGUCGUGGAAUUCCCAGUGUAGAGGUGAAAUUCGUAGAUAUUGGGAAGAACACCGGUGGCGAAGGCGGCGACCUGGUC
rnacentral:rRNA from 1 species